rnacentral:rRNA from 1 species
GACGAACGCUGGCGGCGUGCCUAAUACAUGCAAGUUGAGCGCUGAAGGUUGGUCCUUGUACCAACUGGAUGAGCAGCGCACGGGUGAGUAACGCGUGGGGAAUCUGCCUUUGAGCGGGGGACAACAUUUGGAAACGAAUGCUAAUACCGCAUAAAAACUUUAAACACAAGUUUUAAGUUUGAAAGAUGCAAUUGCAUCACUCAAAGAUGAUCCCGCGUUGUAUUAGCUAGUUGGUGAGGUAAAGGCUCACCAAGGCGAUGAUACAUAGCCGACCUGAGAGGGUGAUCGGCCAGAUUGGGACGGAGACACGGCCCAAACUCCUACGGGAGGCAGCAGUAGGGAAUCGUCGGCAAUGGACGAAAGUCUGACCGAGCAACGCCGCGUGAGUGAAGAAGGUUGUCGGAUCGUAAAACUCGGUUGGUAGAGAAGAACGUUGGUGAGAGUGGAAAGCUCAUCAAGUGACGGUAACUACUCAGAAAGGGACGGCUAACUACGUG